GAUGAACGCUAGCUACAGGCUUAACACAUGCAAGUCGAGGGGAAACGGCAUUGAGUGCUUGCACUCUUUGGACGUCGACCGGCGCACGGGUGAGUAACGCGUAUCCAACCUUCCCAUUACUGUGGGAUAACCUGCCGAAAGGCAGACUGAUACCGCAUAGUCUUCGAUGACGGCAUCAGAUUUGAAGUAAAGAUUUAUCGGUAAUGGAUGGGGAUGCGUCUGAUUAGCUUGUUGGCGGGGUAACGGCCCACCAAGGCUACGAUCAGUAGGGGUUCUGAGAGGAAGGUCCCCCACAUUGGAACUGAGACACGGUCCAAACUCCUACGGGAGGCAGCAGUGAGGAAUAUUGGUCAAUGGACGGAAGUCUGAACCAGCCAAGUAGCGUGCAGGAUGACGGCGCUAUGGGUUGUAAACUGCUUUUGUAUGGGGAUAAAGUUAGGGACGUGUCCCUAUUUGCAGGUACCAGACGAAUAAGGACCGGCUAAUUCCGUG
rnacentral:rRNA from 1 species